GAUGAACGCUGGCGGCGUGCCUAAUACAUGCAAGUCGAGCGAACAGACGAGGAGCUUGCUCCUCUGACGUUAGCGGCGGACGGGGGAGUAACACGUGGAUAACCUACCUAUAAGACUGGGAUAAUUUCGGGAAACCGGAGCUAAUACCGGAUAAUAUAUUGAACCGCAUGGUUCAAUAGUGAAAGACGGUUUUGCUGUCACUUAUAGAUGGAUCCGCGCCGCAUCAGCUAGUUGGUAAGGUAACGGCUUACCAAGGCAACGAUGCGUAGCCGACCUGAGAGGGUGAUCGGCCACACUGGAACUGAGACACGGUCCAGACUCCUACGGGAGGCAGCAGUAGGGAAUCUUCCGCAAUGGGCGAAAGCCUGACGGAGCAACGCCGCGUGAGUGAUGAAGGUCUUCGGAUCGUAAAACUCUGUUAUUAGGGAAGAACAAAUGUGUAAGUAACUAUGCACGUCUUGACGGUACCUAAUCAGAAAGCCACGGCUAACUACGUG
rnacentral:rRNA from 1 species